rnacentral:rRNA from 1 species
CACCGAUGGCGAAGGCAUCCCACCAGAACGGGUCCGACGGUGAGGGACGAAAGCUGGGGGCACGAACCGGAUUAGAUACCCGGGUAGUCCCAGCCGUAAACGAUGCUCGCUAGGUGUCAGGUGCGGUGCGACCGCAUCUGGUGCCGUAGUGAAAACUUGAAGCGAGUCACCUGGGAAGUACGGUCGCAAGGCUGAAACUUAAAGGAAUUGGCGGGGGAGCACUACAACGGGUGGAGCCUGCGGUUCAAUUGGAUUCAACGCCGGAAAGCUUACCGGGUCAGACAGCAAUAUGAAGGUCAAGCUAAAGACUUUACCGAAUUCGCUGAGAGGAGGUGCAUGGCCGCCGUCAGUUCGUAUCGUGAGACAUCCUGUUAAGUCAGGCAACGAGCAAGACCCGUGCCCACAGUUGCCAGCAUAUCCGCAAGGAUGAUGGGCACACUGUGGGGACCGCCGCUGCUAAAGCGGAGGAAGGGGCGGGCUACGGUAGGUCAGUAUGCCCCGAAUCAUCCGGGCUACACGCGGGCUACAAUGGUUGGGACAAUGGGCACCAACACCGAAAGGUGACGGUAAUCUCCUAAACCCAGCCUUAGUUCGGAUUGAGGGCUGCAACUCGCCCUCAUGAAGCCGGAAUCCGUAGUAAUCGCGUAUCAACAUCACGCGGUGAAUACGUCCCUGCUCCUUGUACACACCGCCCGU